rnacentral:rRNA from 1 species
UUAUUGGGCGUAAAGCGAGCGCAGGCGGUUUUUAAGUCUGAUGUGAAAGCCUUCGGCUCAACCGAAGAAGUGCAUCGGAAACUGGGAAACUUGAGUGCAGAAGAGGACAGUGGAACUCCAUGUGUAGCGGUGAAAUGCGUAGAUAUAUGGAAGAACACCAGUGGCGAAGGCGGCUGUCUGGUCUGUAACUGACGCUGAGGCUCGAAAGUAUGGGUAGCAAACAGGAUUAGAUACCCUGGUAGUCCAUACCGUAAACGAUGAAUGCUAAGUGUUGGAGGGUUUCCCCCUUCAGUGCUGCAGCUAACGCAUUAAGCAUUCCGCCUGGGGAGUACGGCCGCAAGGCUGAAACUCAAAGGAAUUGACGGGGGCCCGCACAAGCGGUGGAGCAUGUGGUUUAAUUCGAAGCUACGCGAAGAACCUUACCAGGUCUUGACAUACUAUGCAAAUCUAAGAGAUUAGACGUUCCCUUCGGGGACAUGGAUACAGGUGGUGCAUGGUUGUCGUCAGCUCGUGUCGUGAGAUGUUGGGUUAAGUCCCGCAACGAGCGCAACCCUUAUUAUCAGUUGCCAGCAUUAAGUUGGGCACUCUGGUGAGACUGCCGGUGACAAACCGGAGGAAGGUGGGGAUGACGUCAAAUCAUCAUGCCCCUUAUGACCUGGGCUACACACGUGCUACAAUGGAUGGUACAACGAGUUGCGAACUCGCGAGAGUAAGCUAAUCUCUUAAAGCCAUUCUCAGUUCGGAUUGUAGGCUGCAACUCGCCUACAUGAAGUCGGAAUCGCUAGUAAUCGCGGAUCAGCAUGCCGCGGUGAAUACGUCCCGGGCCU